GCUGUAUUAAAUAACGGACCUGUGCAAAAAUUUAGCAAAAUAGCUUUAAAAUUGAGGAAGUUAUAUCCAAAAAAUACACAUACGUACAUCACAUUAUUUGGAAAUUCCAUCGAGAUUGUACCGUUAUGGCUUUGAAACGGUGGUUAAUAUUUUUUGCAAAUAAAGGGUUAACUGUUGCCUAUUAUCUUCGACAACGCAUUUUAACAUCAGCUCACAGUGGGUUUCGAACCUGGGUCGUACCAAAUGGUAGUCAUGCACAAAUACGUUCGCGUACAGUGGCAGCAUAAUGUUUUAUAAAUCGAGAUGCAAAUAUUUUUCGCCCACUCUCAGACAGCAAAAAACGCAAAUAAAGGAAAAUCAGACAAACAAUCGCAAAAUAUCCCUUCAGUGCUUGAUGGUGUUAAUGCUUACUCAUAGCUCACAGCGCCGUAUUUACGUUUAUCCUUGUCGUGAUAGGAUGACUGCAUUUCAGUU